rnacentral:rRNA from 1 species
GACGAACGCUGGCGGCGUGCCUAAUACAUGCAAGUCGAACGCAUUUUCUUUCACCGUAGCUUGCUACACCGAAAGAAAAUGAGUGGCGAACGGGUGAGUAACACGUGGGUAACCUGCCCAUCAGCGGGGGAUAACACUUGGAAACAGGUGCUAAUACCGCAUAAUUCCAUUUACCGCAUGGUAGAUGGAUGAAAGGCGCUUUUGCGUCACUGAUGGAUGGACCCGCGGUGCAUUAGCUAGUUGGUGGGGUAACGGCCUACCAAGGCUGCGAUGCAUAGCCGACCUGAGAGGGGGAUCGGCCACACUGGGACUGAGACACGGCCCAGACUCCUACUGGAGGCAGCAGUAGGGAAUCUUCGGCAAUGGACGCAAGUCUGACCGAGCAACGCCGCGUGAGUGAAGAAGGUUUUCGGAUCGUAAAACUCUGUUGUUAGAGAAGAACAAGGAUGAGAGUGGAAAGUUCAUCCCUUGACGGUAUCUAACCAGAAAGCCACGGCUAACUACGUG